UAGUAUAUAUACAUAGUACGGUGAUCAUAUUUCUCUUUUCAUUCCUUCAUCUGCUUGAAAUUAGCCGAUGUAAUAUGUUCCCAUAACAUAAACCCUUAACACUGAGGAAAGACCAAAAUUAAUUUUGUGCGUAUGCCGUGUAAUUUACAUUCCUAAAAGAACAAAACAAGUAUAAAAAUAUAUGAAAGGAACAUAACGACAAGUAUAGAAAGACAAUGCUCAUAAAAUAUAGAUUUCAAACCACCUUUUGCCGAGUCAAACAUAAUAUGGAAAAUAAAUACCAGUUAAGAUUCUAGAAUUCUCCCAGAUGACUCAUGUAUAUUCACCACUGAACGACAUCCUCCACCCAUCUGAUUUGCAACAUGAUAAAGAUGGACACAACAACAUAGAGUUCCAAAAGUAGCUUUGUUUCCAAAAGUACUAUCCUAUUCAAUCUUAUGCUCAUAUAGAGAGAGAAGAUUGGAUUUGGAAUCCACUGAAACAUCUUCCGUAAGUAAGAUCUUCAAAUGGCUUUCUAGAAUUGGCCACACUAUCGAGCAAGAAGAAGUGGACCUACAUAGGCGAAUUAAAAUGCAGACUGAGAUGGACUGAUAUAACAAUCCGAUCGAUAUAAACGGAAAACUCAGCAAAGGAUAUGACACCUAUUUUAGCCCCUGGAGAAAAUAGCAAGUAAACUUCCCAUGAUAAAAAUAUAUUAAUGUUUUCAGCAUAUCCUAGAGUUCGGCCACAUUUCAAAUAGUACACUAAAUCUAACUUUUAUAUGCAAGUUUACCUGCUGUGAACAAUUCUAACACCGAAUAUCUAAAUCGAUUGGUGUGUGUGCUGCCACAAACGGGUAAACGAAAAACAGUGGCAUGCCAUACCCCCCCCCCCCCAAUAAAUAUUUGGCCCUGAAAUAAAAUGGUAAAGUAACUGCAAAGCCGUCAAUUAAUAUCAUCUUAAUUAUAUUCAUUAUUUAAAUUUGUAUAAAGUUAGUAUUGUGAAUAUACUAGCCCGUGCGAAUGCACGGGUUGACGACUAGUAAAUAUAAAAUCUGUAGAAUCUUUGAUAUGGACGUCCUAUAGACUUUAAACAUCAUCAACCAGUUCUUUCGUGAAAAACAAGAGCUUGGGAAAUCCGGAGUCACACUUUCACUCCUUUUUUGUUUGAUCGCUCACUCCAUCAUGGAUCGACCUCUUUAAUUAAGACAUACCAGGGACUUGAGACGCGGGAGAGAUCCCUCUUGGAUUUCCAUCUCAGUUAUCACUUUUACCAUGAUGCAUAGGGAAGUUGAGUUGCGAUCGGCUUCAGGAGCUCCUUCCGAAGCGCCAUGACCAUAACAGCUACCCUAGUUAGCAGCAAUGGCUGGAU
rnacentral:lncRNA from 1 species